AGCGCGACGUUUUGUCGGAGAUGGUUGUGCGCGUUUCGUUCUAACCCAAGUAGCAGAGCCGAAGUUGUUGAGAGAUUUUGCUGUGUGCCAAAGCGAGAGGCCCUGUCUUCUCUCUCUAGAUUUUGGACGGCAAACCGCCGCCCGUGCAGAGGUGUGUGCGUGUGACGAAAAAUUAUGGAUGAAAUACGGGGGAAGCGGGGUUUGAAGUCUUUCGUUCGUCACACACACAUGCAUUUACCAGCGGAUAUCGCUGGACCGAGUCUACCCAUCCCUCUCGAUCCACCAUGAUUUUUCUGCUAUCGCGCUCAUCCGGGUGUUAGGCAUCCUCAGUCUGUCCAGAACUUUCCCUGUGGAAGGAUGUACUUAAGUGAGGUGCGAUUUCUUGUGCGACGUACUUUGCUCAUUUACGUUUUGUGCCGUGUUCCUUCUCCCUCAGUUAUGGAAUGAUUUAUCCUAGCAAAUUGUUGAGGUGUGUGCGCUAUUUAUCAACGACUACAUGCUAGCCUCGUCAACAAUCUUCAAAGUGAGCGACGGAAAGAAAACGUUUCUCAGUUUUAAAAUAUUAAGCCCCCGGUGAGGAAGUCAUUACUUAACAGAAGCCGGUUCAACACGCGCAGCUCCUGUUCAUGACGUCAUCACUAAAAUGAAGCCAGCUGGACACGCGCAGCACGGAUGGUACCACGAGCGCAGUAGGAGGAAGGAAGAACGAGAGGAGGAAGAACGGUAAAUUUGGAAGGGGCUAAGUGUUCUGCCGUCUACACAGCGGGAGUAUGUUAAAACACAUGUGGGAAGGCAAUCCGAAAAAGGGGGUGGAGCAAACACAUUGGUAUGCGUGAGCGGCUGAAGAAACCAGAACGUUUAGAUGUGUGCGUGACGGAUGGUUCGGGCGCCUGUGGCGACCCGUCCGGCAAAAUGAGUGUAUUUUUUGAGUGAUUUGAGUGACGCUGUCGAAAUACAGUGUCUCUUCGACCAAUGAGUUACACCCUCGCGCGAGCCCUCCCCCUCCCCACCCGUAACGCACGGUGCGCUCUGCAGUUCUCAAUGUGUUUGUGUUCUUUCGAGCCAUGCUACCAACACAUGUAAAGAUAGUUGUUUCUUUCGUUUUUCGUUUUCUUUCAUGCACUUAUUCUAAAACUAAACACAAACACUGUCAUUUUUUAUUACAUUAAACACUUUAUUGAAACAUAAAGUACACACUAAAGUACACAUUUAGAAUCCAAUGACGUCAUACCGGGUCGAGCCAGGCUGCGGGAAACUUGUCGACAAUCUGCGUUGACUCUGUUCAGCAAAUUCUUACCUGUGGAUCCACGCACUGCAUGUGCGUCUGUGCACACUGUUUAUUCACUGCACACUUCACCAAAACACACCGGCGCACGAGACUUAUAACGAAAUGCGCAUCAAUGCACAAACACUGCGCGCGGGACUUUGAACAAAACACGCACAACCAUCUCCGGCAAAGCGUCGCGCUGUACUGGUGGUUUUGCACGCGUAGGAGGGGGGGACAUACGGAGCGAUGGUUCGAUGCUGUAGUGUAAGCGAGACAACACGAUGUGACGAGCAGCUCCAAGUUGAGCUCGCUGAAAGAAGACACACACACAUUCACAGACGGCUCGUCAAAGCACGGUAUUUGUAUUGGUGUUAGUGAAGCGCGCGUGUAAAACAGAAUGCGAACUCUCAUCGCAGCGCACUUCUCCGUGCUUCCUCAAGCUUCCUCAUACCCCUCGGCCUGAAUCACUCAAAAUUUGGGGUCUCAUUGUUUGCGUGGGAAGCUCUCGACAAGACUGCAAACGAGAGCUUUGUGGAGAGCUUUGUAGGGAGCUCAGAUUACACAGGCCGCCGUCGGUUUUUGCGUCCUUGGGAAGUCCCGCGCGCAGUGUUUGUGCGUUGAUGCGCAUUUCGUUAUAAGUCUCGUGCGCCGGUGUGUUUUGAUAAAGUGUGAAGUGAACAGUGUGUACAGACGCACAUGCAGUGCGUGCAUCGACAGGUAAGAAUUUGCUGAACAGAGGCAACGCAGAUUGUCGACAAGUUUCCCGCAGCCUGGCUCGACCCGGUACUUUACAGUAUGACUCCAUUCGUGAGUAUGAACGAUUCUAAAUGUGUUGUGAAAGUGUAAUUUAUGUUUCAAUAAAGUGUUUAUGUAACCAAAAAUGACCGUGUUUGUGUUUGUUGUUAGAAUAUGUGCGUGUUUGCGAUCGUGUCUAUGCAUGAAAGAAAACGAGAAACGAAAGCAACAAAUAUCUUUGGAUGUGUUGGUAGCAUGAUUGGAAAGAACACAACACAUUGAGAACUGCAGAGCGCACCGUGCGUUACGGGUGGGAAGGGGGAGGGCUCGCGCGAGGGUGUAACUCAUUCCUCUAAGAGUAACUGCUAACGGGGGACGGUACUCAAAUCACUCAAAAAAUACACUCAUUUUGCCGGACGGGAUGUAUUUAUCUAGCCCACCCUUACCCACCUUUUUUAAAAAUGCUUUGUGGAAAAGUUUGGCCAAGGGUUGGUUAAGGUCAAUAUGCUGACUCCUCGACUGCUUUAACUCCUCGAUUGAUUAAAUUCAUUCACUUACAUCACUGCGCUUCAACUUCAGCAAUAUUAUUAGUCUAUAAACUAUGCACUGACCAGCGAAAAGAAAGAGUCCAUUCGGAAGUAAACAAACACACAUAUACACAUAUUACACAUGGAUGUUUCACAACAAACCAACUUAAACACACACGUGUAAAUGCUAUCUUUGCAUAAUUAAAUCACAUUUUAUCACAGGUGAAACAUAUUGAGAAAAUAAAUAGCCCGUGCAAAAAAAAAAAAAAACAGACUACCACACGUUGAAGCGGCCGCUUAUGUGGCCAUAUGGCUUAACCCACCAAACUGAUUGUGUUUUGGCUUUGUUUGAUGGAACUUAAUUUUUAGUACAAGAAAUUGGUGGCGUUUUCGGUAUCUUGGUUAUUUGGGGCUGCUUCUGUGGCCGUGUGGCUUAACCCACCAAACUGAUAGUUUUUUGGCUUUGUUUGAUGGAACUAGAUUUUGGUACAAGAAAUUGGUGGCGUUUUCGGUAUCUUGGUUAUACGGGUAGGGUCCGUGUCGGUACUUCAUGAGAUGCGAUGAAAUUUGGCGGACUGGUAAUACAGAUUGAAAUUCCUACCGAAAACUACAGUUAAAAUGUUGCUGCUUGUACCGAAAUCUGCUAAAAUAAUCUGGCCACACUGGGUGAGAUUCUGGUUUUUUCCCACCUGGUCUCUUCAAUGUACCUUGGUCUCGGUGUAAUUUUCCUAUAGGGUCACCUUUUUUCCAUAUACUCUGACUAUAUAACCCCUGUCUAUUUGAUGUCAAGGAAUUUUUAUGAACCGUGGAGUUUCAUCAACCGGGCACGGAUGAACAAUAUAUGCGAUUACAAUUAAUCUGAUGGUAGUUUUGUGUAGAUAAGUCAUUUUCAUUGUUUGGCUAAUGGUAAUGUUUUGUUCUGCUUGUGACAGGCAAUUACAGCCACUGACGCCUUACAUGUUGUGUUGGGAUUAAUGCCUGGCGACGUCGUUUGCAUUCAGCCUACAAUUCAGACAUAUUCAGGCUGUUGGUAUUGGAGCCUGUCCCAAAAAAAGUUGGGCUACACUGAGCUGCCGUGCUAUCAUUCUCUUGGUGAGCGUAAGCUUGAGCCGGCCGGUUUUGAUAAUGCAAAUGUUUACGCAUCGUACGAUCUACUUCCAUCGGCUCUUGACGCGUGUGCGUUUCGCUCGGUAUUGGUACGUGCGGUUUUUGUUUCGGAGGGAACUUUUGUGUUGGUAGGAAACCUUGUGCCGAUGUACCUUUUCGUAAUUUUUCGAGCUCUACACAAAGUUCAUAUGCCUUAUUCAAGCUGUCUGGCGUAGCUGUUUUAACUAAUAUUCCUAAGUCACUAUUUAAUCCCCUUAUACAACUAUCUAUGGCUUUAUCUUUAAAAUAAUCUAAAAACGCAUGGUUAGGAGAAUUAUACUUAACAUUAUUUUGAAUGUGGUUUGUAAUAAAUGUAAGAAGUUCGUUCACUCUACCGAAGUAUAAUUCGAUAUUUUCAUAGUUCUUACGCUUAAUUGUAGUAAGUUCGUAAUCGAAACUCAUCAAAUCACGACGAUCACUGAACUUCUUCACCAACACUUCUUUGAUUGCUGACCAAUCAAAUCCUACAUUACUGGCAUGUAAAGCGUCCGAUGCCGCACCAAUUAUUUUUCUAUGCACUGUACGUUCUAUUAUUCCAAAUUGCGUCGGGCAAUUUGCAAAUGCGGAAUAGUAGUUGUAUAUUCCGUCGACAUCCUCAACCCAGGUGUUGAGAUGUUUCGGGUUACCGUCAAAUUCCGGCAACAUUUUAAGGAUGUCAGGGACCUGUCCCAUUUAUAUGAAGAAUUUCAUUUCUUCAUCUUUUUUCUAACUAGAUUCUAACUAGAUAGACGUAGAUUACAAAAAAAAAAAUAAUGAUCGAACGGUCUUUCACGAUGAAUAAAUUAGUGCACCUAUUCGCGCUACAACACCGCAAAUCAAUAGCUCUAAGGCUGGAUGUCGUAUUCUCUGGUUGAACAAAGACAGCUAUAGGUAGCUUCACUCCAGUACUAGGAGCUUAUACGUUUACUAAUUUUUUUCUUUUAAUUCGGGCGCCAGUUAUCGAGUCUAGUCGCUUCUCUUCGGAGGUUGCUUACAGACUGAGUUUAUUCUACCAAAAAUAUCCAUUACAUAUGUGUUUCACGCAUACUUCUAAUUAGAUCUAACACUAUCAACGCAAUACUACUUAACGCUAUAUCUAAUAACCUAUACAAAUACUAAUAAGAUAUUUACAACGUGGUAACUUUGAUAAACGAGAAUCUCUGUCAAAAACGUUAUCUGGACGUGGAGGACAUGCCCACAGCACGUCCAGGCAUUUCUCGAUUUUUGUAUGACUUCGGUUGAGCUUCGUGUGUUUUGAACAGGCUGUGGACGGUCAUGUCCCAAUUGACAUUUUCGAGCACGAAUAAUCGGGAAUUCGAGCAAAUCCCCUUACCCGGCGCUCUAGCACCAAUCGAACACGACAUCGAACAUGAAAAAUGUAUGGGAUUUGACAUGUUUGUCUUGUUUGUUUGUUUGUGUCUGACAGUGCACCUCCAUAUGAUUAUAUGGGUUUGUUCGUGUCGGAUGUCGUGUUCGAUUGCUGCUAGAGCGCCGCCUUAAACUGGAGCCUUAAACUUCCCUUAAACUGCACCAGUUUAAGGGAAUUCAGAAAAAGUCCUUUAAAAUCAACUGUGAUGCGGCUUUUUCGUUACUUUCUUCUAGAUUCGCUCGGAAACGAUGUUUUCUAUCGUAACAGUUGGUCAUGUUCCCAUUUUAUACUUAAAUAAUAUCUAUAGGGGAUUUGGGGUUAGAUGUGAUAUGCACUUUUAAUUGUCCGAACACUGUAUAUGUUUGUAAGAUGUUGUUAAUUCACAAGUUUAUUUCACUUUAGAACAGAUUGGUCAGAACGCAACUUUUUGGGUCUGAGGUCAAAACGCGACCUGUUGGUAUGGGGAUCAGAACGCUACUGAUCGGGUCAGAGUGCAGAACGCGACUUGUUGGUACGGGGAUCAGAACGCUACUGAUCGGGUCAGAGUUCAGAACGCGACUGUUUGGUCUGAUAAGAAUUCUCUCGGUCAGCGCGUUGCGCUCUCUCGUCGAGCAGCGCACGGGGACACGAUUAAGUUCCCUCUCUCUCCUUCUCUUUCUCUCGCGCGCACGUAUGCUAAACGGAAUACGAUUUCCUCAACAAUAUCCAUUUUUAUAGAAUAACGUCACACAAAAUUAGCUUUUGUUUUUCAUCAAAAACCCAGUGCUAUUAGUGAAAAAUGAGCUCGCUCAUUCUUGGCGCUUUCAACACACUUGAUCAUACACAAAUCCACAAUUUCAAGCGUAUCGAGUACUAAUCGAGCAGAUAUGGGAAAACAGUUUCGAGCAAAUGUCUCUUAGGGUGUCACCUGUCUAUCUCUAUCAUGCGAGAGCUCCAAAAACAACGGUUUGUAAGGACAAGGGUUUCGCUUACCUGUAUACACACUUGACGAGUAAAAAAACACUUCCCAACGGUCACCAGCACUAAGAGAUCCGCUGUGUUAGAAGCUGAUUUGCAAACUGCGUUGGCGAAAUAAUUCAGCACCCGAAGUAAUCCGAAGCCGAAGCGAGCCCGAACGGAAGUCGGCCCGAACCUUCGUUUUAAUAGCCCCCUCCCCCUUUUCGCAGAUUUUAUUUCUGAAUCAGCAUAUCAGCAAGAAUCGAAAGAGCUGACGGAUUUCGGCAGUAUUUUUAACCGAGUUCGUGAAAUAUUUUUAAGUGUGUAGAACAGAGCGCAGGUAUGGCCAAAUGUGUGCAUGUGUGUACUUGCUCUACUAAAGUCCGGUAUCGUACCAGAUUUCGUGUGUCGCCAAGUGCGUGCGUGUGUGUUAUUGUCACAGCACAUUCUUUCAACAUUUUUGCAAUCUUUCGAUUGUGCCACUCGAUUUCGUUCUUCGUCUGAUUUUGGCAGCACACGAAGGGGUUUCGGUUUCAACUUCCAACAACAAUAACCACACGAGGGGGCUGUGGAUACUCACGAAGGGAGAAUCACUCAAAUUAAAGCGAGAGACAGAUAGAAAAAGCGAAAGGUCAAUGUAAAAUAUUCGGCUUUUGGCAGCUGGGUACAAACUUAAACGACCCGUUAAACAUUGCGAGGGUUGCGAGUGGUAUCAUCCCAGAUAGCAAAGCCGAAGGCCUUUGUAUGGGAGCCAUCGCGCUGAUCAAGGCUCACUUUUUCGCGCGCAUAAAGCAAAAUAUGCGCGAAGGCGAAAAAAACCCGAAAGCGCUUCGUGUCCUCUCUCGUGUUUCUAGUUUUAUUCUCUCUCGCAUGCCAUCACUCUCUCCCAGUUUUUCGGAUUGAAAUGAGAAUUCACUCUCUUGAUUUGGUUGCGGCAGUCUAGCU